ACAUACGACCAUAGGGUGUGGAGAACAGGGCUUCCGUCCGCUCAGCCGUACUUAAGCCACACGCCGGGAGGUUAGUAGUUGGGUGGGUGACCACCAGCGAAUCCCUCCUGUUGUAUGUU
rnacentral:rRNA from 1 species